rnacentral:rRNA from 1 species
CUAGUGGCGCACGGGUGCGUAACGCGUGGGAAUCUGCCCUUGGGUUCGGGAUAACAGUUGGAAACGACUGCUAAUACCGGAUGAUAUCUUCGGAUCAAAGAUUUAUCGCCCAGGGAUGAGCCCGCGUAGGAUUAGCUUGUUGGUGAGGUAAAAGCUCACCAAGGCGACGAUCCUUAGCUGGUCUGAGAGGAUGAUCAGCCACACUGGGACUGAGACACGGCCCAGACUCCUACGGGAGGCAGCAGUGGGGAAUAUUGGACAAUGGGCGAAAGCCUGAUCCAGCAAUGCCGCGUGAGUGAUGAAGGCCUUAGGGUUGUAAAGCUCUUUUACCCGGGAUGAUAAUGACAGUACCGGGAGAAUAAGCCCCGGCUAACUCCGUGCCAGCAGCCGCGGUAAUACGGAGGGGGCUAGCGUUGUUCGGAAUUACUGGGCGUAAAGCGCGCGUAGGCGGCUUUGUAAGUCAGAGGUGAAAGCCCGGAGCUCAACUCCGGA